rnacentral:rRNA from 1 species
AUCAUGAUAAGAAAACUGAUCGCAUUUGGGGUAACCCGGCGACGGAUCAUUCAAGUUUCUGCCCUAUCAACUUUCGAUGGUACGGUAUUGGCCUACCAUGGUGACCACGGGUAACGGGGGAUUAGGGUUCGAUUCCGGAGAGGGAGCCUGAGAAAUGGCUACCACUUCUAAGGAAGGCAGCAGGCGCGCAAUUACCCAAUCCUGACAUAGGGAGGUAGUGACAAUACAUACUAAUGCGGGGCUAUGCCUUGCAAUUGGAAUGAGUACAACUUAAACCUGUUAACGAGAACCCAUUGGAGGGCAAGUCUGGUGCAGCAGCCGCGGUAAUUCCAGCUCCAACGGCGUAUAUUAACGUUGUUGCAGUUAAAAAGCUCGUAGUUGAAGUUAUGGUGCGUUCUCUGUUAGAGGUGGUCUGCUUUCGGGUAGGCUAGUUCUUAUUGAGGCGUGCUGUAUCUUUUGCCGUUGCGUUCGUAUGCUCCUUCAUCGGUGUGUACGGGUGGACGGCGCAUUACUGUGAAAAAAUUAGAGUGUUCCAAGCAGAUGUAUAUCUGAAUAGUUCAGCAUGGAAUAAUAGAAUAGGGGAGAUUGCCCUAUCGUUGGUUUUGGGGUGAUUUCUGAUGAUGAAUAGGGACAGUUGGGGGCAUUAGUAUUUAAUUGUCAGAGGUGAAAUUCGAGGAUUUAUGAAAGACUAACUUCUGCGAAGGCAUUUGCCAAGGAUGUUUUCAUUGAUCAAGAACGAAAGUUAGGGGAUCGAAGACGAUCAGAUACCGUCGUAGUCUUAACCAUAAACGAUGCCGACUAGGGCUGGGUCUAUAUCAGAUCCGGACCUUUAGAGAAAUCGCAAGUUUUUGGGUUCUGGGGGGAGUAUGGUCGCAAGGCUGAAACUUAAAGGAAUUGACGGAAGGGCACCACCAGAAGUGGAGCCUGCGGCUUAAUUUGACUCAACACGGGGAAACUCACCAGGUCCAGACAUAGAGAGGAUUGACAGAUUGAGAGCUCUUUCUCGAUCCUAUGGAAAGUGGUGCAUGGCCGUUCUUAGUUGGUGGAGUGAUUUGUCUGGUUAAUUCCGUUAACGAACGAGACCUCAAGAGGGUGUUCUGUGCUUCCUUGAUUCAAGGAAUGUCUAUGCGCCCUCGACUAUCGGUUCUUAAGCCGAAGGAAGGUUGAGGCAAUAACAGGUCUGUGAUGCCCUUAGAUGUUCUGGGCUGCACGCGCGCUACACUGAUGGGGGCAAAGAGUGGGACAUUAGCCUUGCUCGGAAGGGCUGGGUAAUCUUGCGAAACCCCAUCGUGCUGGGGAUAGAUCUUUGUAAUUAUCGAUCUUCAACGAGGAAUUCCUAGUAAGCGCGAGUCAUCAGCUCGCGUUGAUUACGUCCCUGCCCUUUGUACACACCGCCCGUCGCUACUACCGAUUGAAUGGUUUAGUGAGGUUGGGGGAGGCGGGUCUUUCGGGACUCUACUGGAAACAGUAAUUGCUGAACCUACCCUAACUUGAUCAUUUAGAGGAAGUAAAAGUCGUAACAAGGUU